ACUCUAGGCCAGCAGUGACAUAAUUCAAAAGCGCAAGUCAUUGAAAGCAGUUCUGCGAAUAUGUAGCUUUUGAUGAUCAGGAGUAAAUUUAGAGUACCCAGAAUAUUGCAUGUUCUGUCUGCCCAUAGUCAGGCUUCUGAUAAGAAUUUCACAGCAGAAAACUCUGAGGUUGUAGUCUCUAGUAGGACAGAUGUGUCGCCAAUGAAGAGUGAUCUGCUCUUACCACCAUCUAAACCGGGAUGCAACAACGUUCUCAAUUGAAGAUCAGGGAGCCAGUCAGGAAAUGUACCUGAGGAUGGCAUAGUCAAUCCAACAAUAAGAAAAGAUUUGAAAACUGGACCGAAAUUCUACUGCUGUCCAAUUGAAGGCUGCCCCAGAGGCCCUGAGAGACCGUUUUCUCAGUUUUCUCUCGUAAAACAGGGACCCACCUAGUAAGAAAAGGAAAAUGGAAAACUGUGCACAAAACCAGAAGUUAUCCAACAAGACCAUUGAAUCAUUGAACAACCAACCAAUCCCUAGACCAGACACUCAAGAACUAGAAGCUUCAGAAAUAAAGCUAGAACCAUCUUUUGAAGACUCUUGUGGCUCUAACACUGACAAGCAGACUCUUACAACACCACCGAGAUAUCCUCAGAAGUUGCUUUUACCAAAGCCCAAAGUGGCUUUGGUUAAACUACCCGUGAUGCAGUUUUCUGUCAUGCCUGUCUUUGUGCCUACAGCCGACUCCUCAGCCCAGCCUGUGGUGUUAGGUGUUGAUCAGGGCUCUGCCACAGGGGCUGUGCACUUAAUGCCCUUGUCAGUAGGAACCCUGAUCCUCGGCCUAGAUUCAGAGGCUUGCUCUCUUAAGGAGAGCCUACCUCUUUUCAAAAUUGCUAAUCCUAUUGCUGGUGAGCCAAUAAGUACUGGUGUUCAAGUGAACUUUGGUAAAAGUCCAUCUAAUCCUUUACAAGAACUAGGGAACACGUGUCAAAAGAAUAGCAUUUCUUCAAUCAACGUGCAGACAGAUCUGUCUUAUGCCUCACAAAACUUUAUACCUUCUGCACAGUGGGCCACUGCUGAUUCCUCUGUGUCGUCUUGUUCUCAAACUGAUUUGUCGUUUGAUUCUCAAGUGUCUCUUCCCAUUAGUGUUCACACUCAGACAUUUUUGCCCAGCUCUAAGGUAACUUCAUCUAUAGCUGCUCAGACUGAUGCAUUUAUGGACACCUGUUUCCAGUCAGGUGGGGUCUCCAGAGAAACUCAAACCAGUGGGAUAGAAAGUCCAACGGAUGACCAUGUACAGAUGGACCAAGCUGGAAUGUGCGGAGACAUUUUUGAGAGUGUUCAUUCAUCAUAUAAUGUUGCUACAGGUAACAUUAUAAGCAACAGUUUAGUAGCAGAGACAGUAACUCAUAGUUUGUUACCUCAGAAUGAGCCUAAGACUUUAAAUCAAGAUAUUGAGAAAUCUGCACCAAUUAUAAAUUUCAGUGCACAGAAUAGUAUGCUUCCUUCACAGAACAUGACAGAUAAUCAGACCCAAACCAUAGAUUUAUUAAGUGAUUUGGAAAACAUCUUGUCAAGUAAUCUGCCUGCUCAGACAUUGGAUCAUCGUAGUCUUUUGUCUGACACAAAUCCUGGACCUGACACCCAGCUCCCAUCUGGCCCAGCCCAGAACCCCGGAAUCGAUUUUGAUAUCGAAGAGUUCUUUUCGGCCUCAAAUAUCCAGACUCAAACUGAAGAGAGUGAACUUAGCACCAUGACCACCGAGCCAGUCUUGGAGUCACUGGACAUAGAGACUCAAACGGACUUCUUACUCGCAGAUACCUCUGCUCAGUCCUAUGGGUGUAGGGGAAAUUCUAACUUCUUAGGCCUUGAGAUGUUUGACACACAGACACAGACAGACUUAAACUUUUUCUUAGACAGUAGCCCUCAUCUGCCUCUGGGAAGUAUUCUGAAACACUCCAGCUUUUCCGUGAGUACUGAUUCAUCUGACACAGAGACCCAAACUGAAGGAGUCUCCACUGCUAAAAAUAUACCUGCUCUAGAAAGCAAAGUUCAGUUGAACAGUACAGAAACACAGACCAUGAGUUCUGGGUUUGAAACCCUGGGGAGCUUGUUCUUCACCAGCAACGAAACUCAGACAGCAAUGGAUGACUUUCUUCUGGCUGAUCUGGCCUGGAACACGAUGGAGUCUCAGUUCAGCUCUGUAGAAACCCAGACUUCUGCGGAACCACACACAGUCUCCAACUUCUAAAACUAACGGUGGAGUCCAUGUGUGAAAUGGCAUCUACCAUUUCCUCUGGAUUAAAACUACGGACUGGGGACAACAGUAUUAAUUCGAUUGAAUGUGGCUGAUGAUGCAGUUGCUUAGCUUCUUUGUGUUUCUUUGCCUUUUGUACUUGUAAACAGAAAUUUGCGUAUAAAUGUGAGUGUAUUAUAAAGUUUGAGAUGUUGAUCU
rnacentral:misc_RNA from 1 species